rnacentral:miRNA from 10 species
CAAGUCUAUUUCUACGGAGUUCG